GGAACAUGGAACUGAUGCAUCGCCAGUAUCUUACAAACAGUCAUGCUGGAACACUGAAUCACACCAAGUGUUGGUGAGUCACCUGUUCAUGUGAAAACACUCACACAGUGACUCAGAAACAUGAUGACAGAAAAUACGAUGGUCAAGAUCUUUGUCAAACUUGGUUACACACACCAGCUCUACACUCAUUAUUUAAUAUUCCCACAGAGUCCACUUUUCAUCUUUGAUUUUCACUUACACACACACCCACACACCCCACUGAGUUACUCAAGGUCAUUUUUCUGUUUUCUUUCAGUUCACUUCUGUUGGAUUUUCAACUUCCCCUUGUCUCUGGGGGACUGGAUCCUGGUCCUCGUGUUUCCUGUAUCUCAUUUUCCGGCCUAAAAUUAAUUUGGGGUCAAACACACUGUAACAUCAAGUUAGACACCCCCUCG